UGGGUCAUGACUGAAACUAACUGCUGAGCUCAGGUAUCUCCUUUCACCCCACCCCCCAAAGGAAACCAACGGAUCUUUGGGCCUAUUAGUAAACAUGUUUUCCACAUUAACCAAAACUGCACGACGAGGAAGCCUGUGUCUCUAGAAAUUGGAAAAUCGGAAUAUGUUUUAUGAUCUAGAGAAUGCUCCUGUGACGGUUCACAAUUGCUUGUUGGCUUUCACUAGACAUUAAGGGUUUCUAGGGCUUAAAAAUUCUGAUGGAAGCCACUAGAAAUAAUAAGGAAACCUCUCCGUAUGCACGGAAAGUGUGAUUUUGUAAAAAGGAGGGUCGGAGGAGUGGUGAUGUGCUUUUGUCAAGGACAAAGAAACUUGUAGGUUUGUGGAGAAGGAGGCUUUGGAGAGAAAUUUUAACGUGUGGCCAAGCUGGCUAAGAUCACAAUUAAAUUUUAAUAUCAAAAGUAAGUGGCACAAAAUUGGUUUUUGCUCUGAAAAACGACGUUUUCUUGAACUUCAGGUUUGCUGUUGACAACAGCUGAUAAAAGUUUCUUUACUUUUUUUUUUAUUUAUUUAUUUUUUAUUUUUUUUUUCAACGUUUAUUUAUUUUUGGGACAGAGAGAGACAGAGCAUGAACGGGGGAGGGGCAGAGAGAGAGGGAGACACAGAAUCGGAAACAGGCUCCAGGCUCCGAGCCAUCAGCCCAGAGCCUGACGCGGGGCUCGAACUCAUGGACCGCGAGAUCGCGACCUGGCUGAAGUCGGACGCUUAACCGACUGCGCCACCCAGGCGCCCCUAAAGUUUCUUUACUUUUCAAGUAACCCACCAGAAAGCCAAGAUCUGGUGCCUUACCAGGUCUUUGUUUUCCGGCACUUUGACUAAAUCAGCCACUAAGUACCGUCUCACAAUGGUCUGUGACCCUCUGUAGUCAAGUGUCCAAACGUGUUGAUGUUUUCAACAGACUUACCCAAAUCGAAGUCUAAAUAAGGCCUUUACUGACCUCAAACUAAGUUUUGAGAAUUUCCAGAGGGUCCCUGAACAUCUCCAAAGGUUUAUUCUCACUUAAACAAAGAAUGAUGUUCUGCUAAUUAGGUUUAUUCGAUCGUGUUAAAUUCUAUGGAAAGCAUGUGAAAUACAUGAUGAUAACCCACUGUGUCGGUAAAUAUUAAUGUUCUGCAAGUUCUGAGAUCCCCACACACCUAGAAUAUCCUGGAUAGCAUCACCAGUCAUAACCGCAGUUCUCUCCGAAUGUUACGUUCAGAAAUAAUCAAGUCGCUCUGUCGGUUCCGCGUCACGGACUCCCGUCGGAUCCCUGACAUCGGGAGUCUUGUCGUUGCACUUUGGUGCCCUGCCAGUGUCCUGCGAAGGCACCUCCCUCCAAGGAGUCACGGAAAGGACUGACAGGUAGGACCUGACAUCGUGAAAGUGAGCGGGAUGAGAAAUUCUAGAACUAAUAACGAGGAAUGGAUUCAAGCAGAACGAGUAUUAGAUGGAACCGAAUGGAUUCAGAACUCUAAUUUUACGACUUCUGCUUUGAAACACUGGUUUUUACCUUUUUCCAAACUUAAGAAAGCCUUCUCUUUUCUCAUGGGAUCAGCAAUUUAAGAUAUUGCUUUGUGAACAAAGAUGAACAUUUUUCUCCCUCUUUGGCCCCUCCAGAAUUUGCAAACUUCGUAUUCUUGUGCAAGUGUACUGCCACUCAAAUGAGUGAUUUAGGAAUCAUGAUUGGGAAUGUUGGUUAUAUUACCAGGCUCUGACCACAAGGUCUUAUUUGAGGGAGAUGUAAAGACUCCGGGAUGAUCGGCUUUCAGGAACUAAGGCUGACCUUAAUGGAGCCUAUGAGGGCCUUACUUACAGGGUUCCUGGCGGCCUGACCCGGUGAGGAGGGAAGGUUGCUUCUUGGCAGGCCCAAGAAUCUCAGGAAAUGUUUGGAACCUUGAGAAGAGAGGAGUUCACCCAAAUCUGUAUGUAUUGCAGGCAAAGUCUGAUGAUGGCUCCUUAGCGCGGCUUCUCAGCCUGGAGAGUCUUUCAAAGUUCACGGGAGAUUCCUUAUGGAAAGUCUGAGCCAAGUGGACUUAAAAGUCUGUAUGGUGAGCACUCUUCUUCUGCACUUAUGUAAAUAACAAGGCCAAGGUACUGAAACUGUGAAAACAGAGUUAAUCUUGCUGUGAAUGUGGGGGUGACUGUAGAGAGAAAUUACGUUUCAGUAACAUGCCUUCGUGGACAGCAGAUUCUAGUGCCGUGAACGGCCCGUGAGGUUUUGCUUUUACCUGUAAACUGGACUAGAUCCCGAGUUCUUCUAUUUUCUUCCUAUAUUUGGCUGCAGCUCUCCAAACUGGCAUUUCCAGUUCACCCCCUCCCCGCCACCAGUCCUUCUGACUCGGAAUCGUUGAGAACCACGACUGCCCUUUCCCUGAAGCCGUGCGGGUUACAGCCGGACACCGUCACGUGAAGUUCAGAGAAACCACAACAGCUCACGUGUGGGUAACUGCCGUGCCUGCUGCUGUGCGGGCCACUCGGAGAGCUCGCCACACGGCCUCCCUGCAGGCCAGGCCCGUCUGUCUCGUUUCCACCGUCUGCUCCACCCCACCUGAAGAUGCCGCAAGCCGGGCCUCCGGACGUCUGCGCGCCUGGCUGCCUCCGGAACUCACCGAGACCGGAUCUGCUCCCCAGAUUAACCUUCGUUUUUUGUCUCCCCAGAAAUGCCUCUUAUUAAGUAUCUGAUGACUUGCCCCCAGACCUAACUCGGGAGCCUCCUGAAACGGAGCCGGCUGCUUAACUGAACGGCCCUGUCGGCAGGA
rnacentral:lncRNA from 1 species